CUUUACAAAGUUUCAGAAGAGACCAUUGCCAUGGAAGCCCACGAUGCUGCAACUGCACGAGUAGAGAGUGCCCCGAAACCCUUUGGUGCAGGUAGAGAAUGACAUUGAUAAGCUUUCACUUUUAGCAGGAAGCUCCAGCUAGAGGUUCGAAUUAUGGUUUAGUCAGAGCCUGUAAGACCAGUGGUAGGUCACAUAUAUUUAAAUGCCUCUAAAAUGAGUAUCCCUGUAUAGGUCCCUCAGUCUUUUUCCUGUCCUACAACCCUUAGGAUGUGAGAAUUUUGCUCCUUUUUAUUUAUGGACAUGUGGUUUUUCUCUUCAUUACAUUAUUUCUUUUUGCUAUUUUAGGUUGCCUUUGCUUCAUGUAAGCAGCGAUCAAACUCAAGCCUUCACUGAGGGUGUUGAAGCCAAUAUGUGAUCUGAUUGGCAGUUAUGUAUGUUUCUGUCCCUCCCUGGUAAGCUUGGAUAUUCCCAUAUGCAUAUGCCACCACGAUUAGCCAAGAAAGAGGAAAAUGUGUUCAUACUUACUGUAAUUUUCUUUUCCUGGCUAUUAUUUAUGGCAGCAUAUACUACCCACCCAGUGUUGG